CAACAAUCCAUCACCAGCAGCAAUAACAAAAGAAUUCAAAGUGGUCACUUCCAAGAGACCAACAGUGAAUGACUUCUCCAGUUCAAGAUGAAGGCGGGGGUUUUUCAGCAAGUAAGAAAUCAGACUUUUCUGAUUAGAUUGUUGCAAAGGAAGGAAAAGUAGUAAGAGGAUGAUUGAGAGGCCUGGAUUCUGAGAGCCACUGGGUCAGGAUUCUAAGCUGUUAAAAGGAGCAGGUUUCCAACAGUAAGUUUGGAGCUGGAAGUGAAA
rnacentral:lncRNA from 1 species